CAAGGUUGGUUCUCCAGAGAUCAGAAAUCCAAAAAAAAAACCCCUGGUGCAGAUACAUCCUUUGAGGUGUCUCUGCGCUUCUUCCGAUCCGCAUUGCUCCAUUUCACAGGCUGAGAAGCGAACCCGGUCACGGGUUCAAAUUUCCACCAGCGCAGACGAAUUUCUGAUUUUUGGAGAGAGAGAGAGAGAGAGAGAGAGGGUGUGUGACUUGCAGGCUGCGUGCCUUUCCUCGUUCCCAACCUUAUUGAAAUCUGACACAACGACCCCGCGGGGUAGAUCAAGUUGCCUUUUCCUUUCUUGUCCGAUCUUAAGCUUUUCUCCCCGAAGAAGCGACUCGAAAACCGGCGCAGAAAGAAGUUCUUCUGCAAUCCACUACAAAAGGACUUGUCUCUUCUUCUUUUUUUUCCCCUCCCCACCUAUUUUCGCAGGAGUGGCCGACCUAGCUGGGUUGUUGUUCCUGUGAAGCCACAGCUGAAUGGCUUAGCUCGUUCUGUGGGGCUUGUUUUGCUCAUCUGCAGCCUAGAGGAGGGAAGUUUAAAAAAAAAGAAAAGAAAAGAAAAAAAAAAAGCUGAUUUUGCUUGGACUAGUCUAGACUUGUUAAAGAUCAGGCAGACAGCCGCCCACAAACUCAUCACAACUCCUGUGUGACUCCAGUCCCUGGAUGCAUUUUUCAGGACCCACCUUUUCCUUGAAAGGGCUGCGUCGACGGAGGAAAGGAUGGGGAAGGUGAGAAACGACACCCCAGUGCGUAUUUCUUUGGCAGUGUCUUAGCUGGUUGUUGGAUGUGAUGACUGAAGAAGCAAUCAGCAAGCAUACUGCUUGAGAAGUGCUGCACAUUUGCAAGCCUGCCCAGAAAACAGCGUUUUCUCCUAGACCAGGGAUUCUGCAACUUUAAACACUCAAAGAGUCAUUUGGACCCGUUUCCCACAGAAAAGAAAACACCGGGAGCCACAAAAUCCUUCCCGUGCCUGACUAUUUCUUGAGCGGCCACAAAACUAGCAUACGUCGUCGAAUUAAACGUUCUGUUUUCUUCUGAAA